rnacentral:rRNA from 1 species
AUUGAACGCUGGCGGUAUGCUUAACACAUGCAAGUCGAACGGUAACAGGCCUUCGGGCGCUGACGAGUGGCGGACGGGUGAGUAACGCGUAGGAAUCUGCCUCAUAGUGGGGGACAACGUGGGGAAACUCACGCUAAUACCGCAUACGCCCUACGGGGGAAAGCGGGGGAUCUUCGGACCUCGCGCUAUGAGAUGAGCCUGCGUUAGAUUAGCUAGUUGGUAGGGUAAAGGCCUACCAAGGCGACGAUCUAUAGCUGGUCUGAGAGGACGAUCAGCCACACUGGGACUGAGACACGGCCCAGACUCCUACGGGAGGCAGCAGUGGGGAAUAUUGGACAAUGGGCGCAAGCCUGAUCCAGCAAUACCGCGUGUGUGAAGAAGGCCCUAGGGUUGUAAAGCACUUUCAAUUGGGAGGAAAACCUGCCGGUCAAUACCCGGCAGCUUGACAUUACCUUUAGAAGAAGCACCGGCUAACUCCGUGCCAGCAGCCGCGGUAAU